AGUGAACGCUGGCGGUAGGCCUAACACAUGCAAGUCGAACGGCAGCACAGUAAGAGCUUGCUCUUACGGGUGGCGAGUGGCGGACGGGUGAGGAAUACAUCGGCAUCUACUUUUUCGUGGGGGAUAACGUAGGGACACUUAUGCUACUACCGAAUACGACCUACGGGUGAAAGCAGGGGAUCUUCGGACCUUGCGCGUUUGUAUGAGCCGAUGUCGGAUUAGCUAGUUGGCGGGGUAAAGGCCCACCAAGGCGACGAUCCGUAGCUGGUCUGAGAGGAUGAUCAGCCACACUGGAACUGAGACACGGUCCAGACUCCUACGGGAGGCAGCAGUGGGGAAUAUUGGACAAUGGGCGCAAGCCUGAUCCAGCCAUACCGCGUGAGUGAAGAAGGCCUUCGGGUUGUAAAGCCCUUUUGUUGGGAAAGAAAAGCAGCAGGUUAAUACCCCGCUGUUCUGACGGUACCCAAAGAAUAAGCACCGGCUAACUUCGUG
rnacentral:rRNA from 1 species